rnacentral:rRNA from 1 species
AUGGGCUCUACCGUGACUAGCGACGAGGAGGCAUGCAUGUACGCGCUGCAGCUAGCAACGUCGUCUAUCCUGCCGAUGACGCUAAAGAACGCCAUCGAACUGGGCAUGCUCGAGACCCUUGUGAGUGCCGGCGGGAAGGCCCUAUCCCCGUCCGAGGUGGCCGCGCAGCUGCCAUGCAAGGCCAACCCAGACGCGCCGGCCAUGGUGGACCGUAUGCUGCGGCUGCUGGCCACGCACAAGGUCGUGUCGUGCGAGAUGGAGAAGGGCGAGGACGGCCUCCUCGUCCGCCGGUAUAGUCCGGCUCCGGUGUGCAAAUGGCUCACCGCCAACGAGGAUGGCGUCUCCAUGGCACCCAUGCUCCUCAUGGUCCAGGACAAGGUCCUUAUGGACUGCUGGUGA